rnacentral:rRNA from 1 species
UAACACAUGCAAGUCGAGCGAAUUCUUACAGAGCAUCGUAAGAGUUAGCGGCAAACGGGUGAGUAACACAUGGGAAACCUCCCUCAAAAUGGGGAAUAUCUUCGUGAAAACGGAGUUAAUACCGCAUAAGACCACAGUUUGGCAUCAGACAGGGGUCAAAGCAGCAAUGCGUUUUGAGAUGGUCCUGUGUCCUAUCAGCUAGUUGGUGGGGUAACGGCCCUACCAAGGCUAUGACGGGUAUCCGGCCUGAAAGGGUGAACGGACACACUGGAACUGAGACACGGUCCAGACUCCGUACGGGAGGCAGCAGGUGGGGUAAUUUUGGACAAAAGUGGGGGAAACCCUGAUCCAGCGACGCCGCGUGAAGGACGAAGGUCUUCGGAUUGUAAACUUCUUUUGGAGGGGACGAAUUAAAUUGACGGUACCCUCAGAAAAAGCCACGGCUAACUACGUGCCAGCCGCCGC